AACAUUGGCAACAAGCCCUCCAACAAGCCGGUCCCUGAGAGGAGCAUGUGGACAGUGCCUGUGUGGGCCAAUGGACCCUCUGUGGAGCUGGCCCCCUCAUCCGCUCCAGAUUGUGGCCUGGCCACUGUGCCUCUUUUCUUGGCUGUGAUGGGGCUUGGGGUACUUGUUCCCCUCCUGCCUGACCAUUAGGUGCCAGCUGGC
rnacentral:lncRNA from 1 species